rnacentral:rRNA from 1 species
UGGAGAGGUAACGGCUCACCAAGGCUACGAUGUCUAGGGGUUCUGAGAGGAAGAUCCCCCACACUGGUACUGAGACACGGACCAGACUCCUACGGGAGGCAGCAGUGAGGAAUAUUGGUCAAUGGGCGAGAGCCUGAACCAGCCAUCCCGCGUGCAGGAAGAAUGCCCUAUGGGUUGUAAACUGCUUUUUCGCAUGAAGAACACUCCGGACGUGUCUGGAGCUGACGGUAAUGCGUGAAUAAGCACCGGCUAACUCCGUGCCAGCAGCCGCGGUAAUACGGAGGGUGCAAGCGUUAUCCGGAUUUAUUGGGUUUAAAGGGUGCGUAGGCGGUAAUAUAAGCCAGUGGUGAAAUCCUGCAGCUCAACUGUAGAACAGCCAUUGAAACUGCAUUACUUGAGUAAUCUUGAGGUAGGCGGAAUGUGUAGUGUAGCGGUGAAAUGCUUAGAUAUUACACAGAACACCGAUUGCGAAGGCAGCUUACUAAGGAUUUACUGACGCUGAUGCACGAAAGCGUGGGGAUCAAACAGGAUUAGAUACCCUGGUAGUCCACGCCGUAAACGAUGAUAACUCGCUGUUGGCGAUACACAGUCAGCGGCUUAGCGAAAGCGUUAAGUUAUCCACCUGGGGAGUACGCUCGCAAGAGUGAAACUCAAAGGAAUUGACGG